GGGGCAGCAUGAAGUUUGCUUGCAAACUUUGAUGGCGACCGGCGCACGGGUGAGUAACGCGUAUCCAACCUUCCCUAUAGUAGAGAAUAGCCCGGCGAAAGUCGGAUUAAUGCUCUAUGUUAUUCAAAGCGGACAUCUAAUUUGAAUCAAAGGUUCACCGCUAUAGGAUGGGGAUGCGUCUGAUUAGCUUGAUGGCGGGGUAACGGCCCACCAUGGCGACGAUCAGUAGGGGUUCUGAGAGGAAGGUCCCCCACAUUGGAACUGAGACACGGUCCAAACUCCUACGGGAGGCAGCAGUGAGGAAUAUUGGUCAAUGGGCGAGAGCCUGAACCAGCCAAGUAGCGUGCAGGAUGACGGCCCUAUGGGUUGUAAACUGCUUUUAUGCGGGGAUAAAGUCGGCUACGCGUAGCCGUUUGUAGGUACCGCAUGAAUGAGGACCGGCUAAUUCCGUGCCAGCAGCCGCGGUAAUACGGAAGGUCCGGGCGUUAUCCGGAUUUAUUGGGUUUAAAGGGAGCGCAGGCCGGAGGUCAAGCGUGACGUGAAAUGUAGGGGCUCAACCUUUGAAUUGCGUCGCGAACUGGUUUCCUUGAGUGAGUACGACGUCAGCGGAAUUCGUGGUGUAGCGGUGAAAUGCUUAGAUAUCACGAAGAACCCCGAUUGCGAAGGCAGCUGACGAGUCCUUUACUGACGCUAAAGCUCGAAGGUGCGGGUAUCGAACAGGAUUAGAUACCCUGGUAGUCCGCACGGUAAACGAUGGAUGCCCGCUGUUUGCGAUAUAUUGUAAGCGGCCAAGCGAAAGCGUUAAGCAUCCCACCUGGGGAGUACGCCGGCAACGGUGAAACUCAAAGGAAUUGACGGGGGCCCGCACAAGCGGAGGAACAUGUGGUUUAAUUCGAUGAUACGCGAGGAACCUUACCCGGGCUUGAACUGCAGGAGAACGAUCCAGAGAUGGUGAGGCCCUUCGGGGCUCCUGUGGAGGUGCUGCAUGGUUGUCGUCAGCUUGUGCCGUGAGGUGUCGGCUUAAGUGCCAUAACGAGCGCAACCCCUUUCGCCAGUUGCCAUCAGGUGAUGCUGGGCAC
rnacentral:rRNA from 1 species